CGUAGGUGGCAAGCGUUGUCCGGAUUUAUUGGGUUUAAAGGGUGCGUAGGCGGCCCUGUAAGUCAGUGGUGAAAUGCUCUAGCUUAACUAGAGAGGUGCCAAUGAUACUGCAGGGCUUGAGUACAGAUGAGGUAGGCGGAAUUGACGGUGUAGCGGUGAAAUGCAUAGAUAUCGUCAAGAACACCUAUAGCGAAGGCAGCUUACUGGGCUGUAACUGACGCUGAGGCACGAAAGUGUGGGGAUCAAACAGGAUUAGAUACCCUGGUAGUCCACACUGUAAACGUUGAUUACUCGCUGUUUGCGAUACACAGCAAGCGGCUUAGCGAAAGCGAUAAGUAAUCCACCUGGGGAGUACGCCGGCAACGGUG
rnacentral:rRNA from 1 species